UGCUCAGGACGAACGCUGGCGGCGUGCCUAAUACAUGCAAGUCGAGCGGACAGAUGGGAGCUUGCUCCCUGAUGUUAGCGGCGGACGGGUGAGUAACACGUGGGUAACCUGCCUGUAAGACUGGGAUAACUCCGGGAAACCGGGGCUAAUACCGGAUGGUUGUUUGAACCGCAUGGUUCAAACAUAAAAGGUGGCUUCGGCUACCACUUACAGAUGGACCCGCGGCGCAUUAGCUAGUUGGUGAGGUAACGGCUCACCAAGGCGACGAUGCGUAGCCGACCUGAGAGGGUGAUCGGCCACACUGGGACUGAGACACGGCCCAGACUCCUACGGGAGGCAGCAGUAGGGAAUCUUCCGCAAUGGACGAAAGUCUGACGGAGCAACGCCGCGUGAGUGAUGAAGGUUUUCGGAUCGUAAAGCUCUGUUGUUAGGGAAGAACAAGUACCGUUCGAAUAGGGCGGUACCUUGACGGUACCUAACCAGAAAGCCACGGCUAACUACGUGCCAGCAGCCGCGGUAAUACGUAGGUGGCAAGCGUUGUCCGGAAUUAUUGGGCGUAAAGGGCUCGCAGGCGGUUUCUUAAGUCUGAUGUGAAAGCCCCCGGCUCAACCGGGGAGGGUCAUUGGAAACUGGGGAACUUGAGUGCAGAAGAGGAGAGUGGAAUUCCACGUGUAGCGGUGAAAUGCGUAGAGAUGUGGAGGAACACCAGUGGCGAAGGCGACUCUCUGGUCUGUAACUGACGCUGAGGAGCGAAAGCGUGGGGAGCGAACAGGAUUAGAUACCCUGGUAGUCCACGCCGUAAACGAUGAGUGCUAAGUGUUAGGGGGUUUCCGCCCCUUAGUGCUGCAGCUAACGCAUUAAGCACUCCGCCUGGGGAGUACGGUCGCAAGACUGAAACUCAAAGGAAUUGACGGGGGCCCGCACAAGCGGUGGAGCAUGUGGUUUAAUUCGAAGCAACGCGAAGAACCUUACCAGGUCUUGACAUCCUCUGACAAUCCUAGAGAUAGGACGUCCCCUUCGGGGGCAGAGUGACAGGUGGUGCAUGGUUGUCGUCAGCUCGUGUCGUGAGAUGUUGGGUUAAGUCCCGCAACGAGCGCAACCCUUGAUCUUAGUUGCCAGCAUUCAGUUGGGCACUCUAAGGUGACUGCCGGUGACAAACCGGAGGAAGGUGGGGGAUGACGUCAAAUCAUCAUGCCCCUUAUGACCUGGGCUACACACGUGCUACAAUGGACAGAACAAAGGGCAGCGAAACCGCGAGGUUAAGCCAAUCCCACAAAUCUGUUCUCAGUUCGGAUCGCAGUCUGCAACUCGACUGCGUGAAGCUGGAAUCGCUAGUAAUCGCGGAUCAGCAUGCCGCGG
rnacentral:rRNA from 1 species